AUACCUAUCCGGCGUCAGGAUACCGUGAUCAUGCAGGCGGUUUCCUCGGGGUGCGGCUGCUGCAUUGUACUGCGGAGUGGUUGACCCUUGCGAUUAUUUUUAUAUUUUAUAAGUUUCACUUCUACCGUGUGUGACUUGCACACACACUGUCACACA
rnacentral:snRNA from 1 species